rnacentral:rRNA from 1 species
AGUGAACGCUGGCGGUAGGCCUAACACAUGCAAGUCGAACGGCAGCACAGUAAGAGCUUGCUCUUACGGGUGGCGAGUGGCGGACGGGUGAGGAAUACAUCGGAAUCUACUUUUUCGUGGGGGAUAACGUAGGGAAACUUACGCUAAUACCGCAUACGACCUACGGGUGAAAGCAGGGGAUCUUCGGACCUUGCGCGAUUGAAUGAGCCGAUGUCGGAUUAGCUAGUUGGCGGGGUAAAGGCCCACCAAGGCGACGAUCCGUAGCUGGUCUGAGAGGAUGGACACGCCACCGUGGAACUGAGACACGGUCCAGCCCCCUCGGGGGGCCGGCAGUGGGGAAUUUUGGACAAGGGGCCCAGUCCUUCUCCGCCCACCCCGGGGGGGUAAAAAGGGCUUUCGGUUUGUAGACCCUUUUUUUUGGGAAAAAAGAGCAGCGGGUUAAUCCCCCCCUGUUUUCAGGCUCCCAAAAAAAUAACCCCCCCCUAUCUCCGCC